rnacentral:rRNA from 1 species
GAUGAACGCUGGCGGCGUGCCUAACACAUGCAAGUCGAACGAUUAAGCCGGCUUCGGCCGGGUAUAGAGUGGCGAACGGGUGAGUAACACGUGACCAACCUGCCCCUUGCUCCGGGACAACCGCUGGAAACGGCGGCUAAUACCGGAUACUCCGCCCGCCCCGCAUGGGGCGGGCGGGAAAGCCCCGACGGCAAGGGAUGGGGUCGCGGCCCAUUAGGUAGUAGGCGGGGUAACGGCCCACCUAGCCCGCGAUGGGUAGCCGGCCUGAGAGGGCGAUCGGCCACAUUGGGACUGAGAUACGGCCCAGACUCCUACGGGAGGCAGCAGUGGGGAAUUUUGCGCAAUGGGGGCAACCCUGACGCAGCAACGCCGCGUGCGGGACGACGGCCCUCGGGUUGUAAACCGCU